AAGGCAGUGGAAACUGUAAAGCUAGAGUACGGUAGGGGUAGAGGGGAACCCCAGUGUAGCGGUGAAAUGCGUAGAGAUUGGAAGAACACCAGUGGCGAAAGCGCUCUACUGGGCCGUAACUGACGCUCAGGGACGAAAGCUAGGGGAGCGAAAGGGAUUAGAUACCUCUGUAGUCCUAGCUGUAAACGAUGGAUACUAGGCGUAGCUUGUAUCGACCCGAGCUGUGCCGAAGCUAACGCGUUAAGUAUCCCGCCUGGGGAGUACGCACGCAAGUGUGAAACUCAAAGGAAUUGACGGGGGCCCGCACAAGCGGUGGAGUAUGUGGUUUAAUUCGAUGCAACGCGAAGAACCUUACCAGGGCUUGACAUCUGACGAAUCUGGGGGAAACCUCGGAGUGCCUUCGGGAACGUCAAGACAGGUGGUGCAUGGCUGUCGUCAGCUCGUGUCGUGAGAUGUUGGGUUAAGUCCCGCAACGAGCGCAACCCUCGUCCUUAGUUGCCAGCCUUAAGUGGGGCACUCUAGGGAGACUGCCGGUGACAAACCGGAGGAAGGUGGGGAUGACGUCAAGUCAUCAUGCCCCUUACGUCCUGGGCUACACACGUACUACAAUGGUAGGGACAAAGGGCAGCGAACUCGCGAGAGUAAGCGAAUCUCAUCAAACCCUGCCUCAGUUCAGAUUGCAGGCUGCAACUCGCCUGCAUGAAGGAGGAAUCGCUAGUAAUCGCAGGUCAGCAUACUGCGGUGAAUCCGUUCCCGGGCCUUGUACACACCGCCCGUCACACCAUGGAAGCUGGCCACGCCCGAAGUCGUUACCCCAACCGUUUGGAGGGGGAUGCCGAAGGCAGGGCUAGUGACUGGGGUGAAGUCGUAACAAGGUAGCCGUACCGGAAGGUGUGGCUGGAUCACCU
rnacentral:rRNA from 1 species